rnacentral:rRNA from 1 species
CAAUAGCGUAUAUUAAAGUUGUUGCGGUUAAAAAGCUCGUAGUUGGAUUUCUGUUGAGGACGACCGGUCCGCCCUCUGGGUGAGUAUCUGGCUUGGCCUCGGCAUCUUCUUGGAGCACGUAGCUGCACUUGACUGUGUGGUGCGGUAUCCAGGUACUUUUACUUUGAGGAAAUUAGAGUUGUUUCAAGCAGGCAUACCGCCUUGAAUACAUUAGCAUGGAAUAAUAAGAGUAGGGCCUUGGUUCUUAUUUUGUUGGCUUCUAGAGCCGAGGUAAUGAUUAAUAGGGAUAGGUUGGGGGCUAUUUGUAAUUUAACUGUCAGAGGUAGAAAUUCUUGGUAUUUAGUUAAAGACAGACUACUGACGAAAGCUAUUUGCCAAGGAUUGUUUUCAUUGAUCAAGAAACGAAAGGUUAGGGGAUCGAAGACGAUCAGAUACCGU